UACGUAGGGUGCGAGCGUUAAUCGGAUUUACUGGGCGUAAAGCGUGCGCAGGCGGCCCGUUAAGACAGGUGUGAAAUCCCUGGGCUCAACCUAGGAAUUGCGCUUGUGACUGGCGGGCUCGAGUACGGUAGAGGGGGGUGGAAUUCCUGGUGUAGCAGUGAAAUACGUAGAGAUCAGGAGGAACACCGAUGGCGAAGGCAGCCCCCUGGGCCUGUACUGACGCUCAUGCACGAAAGCGUGGGGAGCAAACAGG
rnacentral:rRNA from 1 species